rnacentral:rRNA from 1 species
GAUAGUCUCAGUUCGGAUUGUGGGCUGCAAACCCGCCCACAUGAAGUCGGAGUUGCUAGUAAUCCCGAAUCAGCAUGUCGGGGUGAAUGCGUUCCCGGGCCUUGUACACACCGCCCGUCACGCCAUGGGAGCUGGUAAUACCCAAAGUCGGUGCACCAACCGCAAGGAGGAAGCCGCCUAAGGUAGGAUCAGUGACUGGGGUGAAGUCGUAACAAGGUAGC